GCUUUGUGCAGAUUUUUCUUGCCGGGUGAUCACAUGGCUCCCUGGCUGAUCUGGCAUAAAGGGCCCACUGGAUAUUCAACACUGCUUCUUUGGGACAGGACAGGGUAGCUUGCUUGUUUGAGCAAGUGAAGAAACGUAUUACGCCUUUACCAUCUCUAAUAUCAAAGUGUGUGUGGGCUGGACUAAAUUCUCCGAAACGCUAGGCGGAAUGAUGACUUACUUGCCAAGCAGGUCCGGUUGCUUCUCGGACAGAUACAUGUGUGAGAAGAUGACCCGUCAGACAUGAAGUCCGCGGCACAAAGAGAACCAGCGGGGCAUGGGCCCGACAAGCACGCGGUCUAGCCAAGAAGAAAAUAUCACCAUAGAAAAAGUAUACACUGAAUCCUUGUAUGUGAAAGCCUUUUGAAUGUUCAUAAGAACAUGAGCAAGAAUUGUACAGCUUUUGAAA